UACGUAGGGUGCGAGCGUUAAUCGGAAUUACUGGGCGUAAAGUGUGCGCAGGCGGCCGCGCAAGUCGAGUGUGAAAGCCCCGGGCUUAACUUGGGAAUUACGCUCGAAACUACGUGGCUGGAGUGUGGCAGAGGAAGGUGGAAUUCCAGGUGUAGCGGUGAAAUGCGUAGAGAUCUGGAGGAACACCGAUGGCGAAGGCAGCCUUCUGGGCCAACACUGACGCUCAUGCACGAAAGCGUGGGGAGCAAACAGG
rnacentral:rRNA from 1 species